UUGCAGAUUGAGUCUUCUCCCCUUCCAUCCUGCCAAUACCAGGUGGAGGUGGCUGAGAAGACUGUUGGAUGAGUGGAGGCGGAGGAAGUGAAGGGUGAGUUGUGACCUGUUCUUUAGGUGGGGGACCAGGAGGUGGAGGUGGCAAAGGUGGUGGAGGCAAUGCACCCAAGUCUGCCAUAGCAGGCUUUGGCGGCAUUGGAGGUGGAGGAGGUAGAGGCAAGGAAGCAGGCAUAACAGAGCUAUCUCCAGGUUCCAGAUGACCAGUAUCUGGCAAUGGGGGAGGUGGUGGAGGUGGAGGGGGUACAACUAAAUCAGCAUCCUCUGAAUCUGUCAUUGAGGAUGAAGCAGCACCACUCGAUGAAGCUGCUGAUAAGGGAAUCCUGGGUCCUGCAGUCCAAAGCCAAAAACUC
rnacentral:lncRNA from 1 species